rnacentral:tRNA from 1 species
GCUCAUGUAGCUCAGGGGUAGAGCACUCCCUUGGUAAGGGAGAGGUCGACGGUUCAAUUCCGUCCAUGAGCU